UGCGUUCCUUGCGUUCCUUGCGUUCCUUGCGUUCCUUGCGUUCCUUGCGUUCCUUGCGUUCCUUGCGUUCCUUGCGUUCCUUGCGUUCCUUGCGUUCUUUCCGUUGUUGUUUUUGAACUGUCACCUAAUUUUCUGCCUUAUGUUUCUGUCUCUGUGGAGGUUCUUUCCGUUCUUUCCGUUCUUUCCGUUCCUUCCGUUCUUGUUUUUGAACUGUCACCUAAUUUUCUGCCCUAUGUUUCUGUCUCUGUGGAGGUUCGUUCCAUUCUUUCCGUUCUUUCUGUUGUUGUUUUUGAACUGUCACCUAAUUUUCUGCCCUAUGUUUCUGUCUCUGUGGAGGUUCUUUCCGUUCUUUCCGUUCUUUCCGUUCUUUCCGUUCUUUCCGUUCUUUCCGUUCUUUCCGUUCUUUCCGUUCUUUCCGUUCUUUCCGUUCUUUCCGUUCUUUUUGAACUGUCACCUAAUUUUCUGCCCUAUGUUUCUCUCUCUGUGGAGGUUCUUUCCGUUCUUUCCGUUGUUUCCGUUGUUGGUCUUGACAUGUCACCUAAUUUUCUGCCCUAUGUUUCUGUCUCUGUGGAGGUUCUUUCCGUUCUUUCCGUUGUUUCCGUUGUUGGUCUUGACAUGUCACCUAAUUUUCUGCCCUAUGUUUCUGUCUCUGUGGAGGUUCUUUCCGUUCUUUCCGUUCGUUCUGUUGUUGUUUUUGAACUGUCACCUAAUUUUCUGCCCUAUGUUUCUGUCUCUGUGGAGGUUCUUUCCGUUCUUUCCGUUCUUUUUGUUGUUUUUGAACUGUCACCUAAUUUUCUGCCCUAUGUUUCUGUCUCUGUUGAGGUUCUUUCCGUUCUUUCCGUUCUUUCCGUUGUUGUUUUUGAACUCUCACCUAAUUUUCUGCCCUAUGUUUCUGUCUCUGUGGAGGUUCGUUCCAUUCUUUCCGUUCUUUCCGUUGUUGUUUUUGAACUCUCACCUAAUUUUCUGCCCUAUGUUUCUGUCUCUGUGGAGGUUCUUUCCGUUCUUUCCGUUCCUUCCGUUGUUGGUCUUGACCUGUCACCUAAUUUUCUGCCCUAUGUUUCUGUCUCUGUGGAGGUUCUUUCCGUUCUUUCUGUUCUUUCCGUUCUUUCCGUUCUUUCUGUUGUUGUUUUUGAAGUGUCACCUAAUUUUGUGCCCUAUGUUUCUGUCUCUGUGGAGGUUCUUUCCGUUCUUUCCGUUCUGUCUGUUGUUGCUUUUAAACUGUCACCUAAUUUUCUGCCCUAUGUUUCUGUCUCUGUGGAGGUUCUUUCCGUUCUUUCUGUUGUUGUUUUUGAACUGUCACCUAAUUUUCUGCCCUAUGUUUCUGUCUCUGUGGAGGUUCUUUCCGUUCUUUCCGUUCUUUCUGUUGUUGGUCUUGACAUGUCACCUAAUUUUCUGCCCUAUGUUUCUGUCUCUGUGGAGGUUCUUUCCG
ensembl:lncRNA